UGAACUCUGGGAGCUUCUGGAGAGAGUCCAACUGUGAAUUUGAAAAGUUUUAAAUCCAGAGAUUACUUCUUGCCCAGCAUCACAAUCCCACAAUUCACUGCAGAGGUUCCUAAGGACAUGUGCAAAGUAAAAUGAAAAUAAUUUUAUGUCGAGAGAACAAAGCAAUUCCCCACACAGCUCAGGAGAGCUGAAGGUUCAGUUGGCAUCCUCCGAUCCCAUGAUCAAGCCAUCUUUUUCUUUUAUACCCAGGAACUCAAAAGCAGAUGCCAGCAAGCUGCCGGCCUCUGGAGGACAAAGGCCUGCCCGCAGGUGCCUGCUCUGAGCUCACUGGGUGCUUGGCCAGCAGGGUUCGCUUUGUUGUAAAAACCUUCAAUCUGCACUAAAGGAACCUGAAUUUCUCAUUGCUUCUGAGACACUGAGAGGAUUCAUGGAAGGCCCCUUUUUAAUUUUCUCAAUGUCCACAUCAAUAUAUGAUCUGAAGCUUGGAAAGACAUCAGGAUGUGGUCCUCCCUCCUGCAGCAUUGGAAUGGCAAUUUCCUCUUUUGUGACCACUUAAUUUCUGCCCCCCACGACCUGUCACUUCCUCCAUCGGUUUUGGCGGCGUUUUCCACAAUCAAUGGUUGUCCAGUGCUUGGCCUCCGGUAAUCCAAUCUCUAUCCCAUCAGAAUAAAUCCACAGCCAUCCUUGGACUAUUCCCCACAGUCAUCACAGCCUAUCUUUUGGGCCCAAUAUGGCAGAAAAAAAAACAUCUUAUUCUUCUGCGAUAAUCAAUCUACUGUGCAUGUUAUUAAUAAAGGCCGUUCUUCUUCCCCUCUCAUUAUGCAACUCCUGCACUGCCUCAUAUUUAUUUCAGUUACUAAUAAUUUAAUCUUGCAAGCCCCCCAUCUUCCAGGUAUAACUAAUAAUGCUGCCGAUGCUCUUUCUCGCCUACAGAUUCCCCGGUUCAGAUGUCUGUUUCCCUCGGCUCAUCCUUUCCCCCUGACUGUUUCUUCAUUCAGUGAUCUAAUACUAAACUAAAGUCUUCUCUUUGUAAUCUCCUCAUUUCUGCACAAUACUAUAUGGCCGCCAUCCUCACUCCUCCUAUGCAACUGGCUGGUCCACCUUCAUGACCUUCUGUAAGCAAAAUAGAAUAUCCCCUUUAACCAGGAUGUAAUUCUAUCUUUUCUCAUUCAGCUGCACCUCUCCCUAGGAACUCUCAAAUCUAGUAGCUGGCAUUCAAUACCACUAUCGUCUCUCAUCUAUUCCUGCUGUUCACUUUCUCCAUCAGGGGAUGGCGAAGAGUGCCCCUCCUCAUCCUUCUUCCCCGUCUCCCCAUCACUACUUGCAUCUCUCAAUCCUCUGUUGAGGCUGUUUUUCUCCUUUUAAUGAUAUAGUCAUGAAAUCUCUGUGUCUGUCUUCAUUCUUUGGUUUUCUCCGCAGUUCUGAAUUCGCUGUCCUCUCUUUCAGUUUUCCAUCCCACAAAACAAUACCACACCUCCCCGCUGUGGCAUAAGCACUCCUUGCUUUUUUCCCUCCAGCCUAGUAACCCUGCCUGUAUUUCAAAGACCUACCUGGAACACAGUAGCGCGUACACUUUAAUAUGCAGAUCCCCGCCCCUGUAGUCAGUGGAAUACCAAUCCCAAACUGACAAGUGUUGCUACAAUUCAUUUGACUCGAGUGACCGGGAUCUACAUACUCACACUUCCACCCCUCACCAAGGUGACACCCCUCAUAAAGAUGACUUCUGUCAUGGUGUGACGGGGUGCCUGCCCCAUAUUUAUAUAUAUUAUUUUGCUGUUAUGAUCUAUUACCGUUUUUAUGUAUAUAUGUAUUUGUUCCGUAUAUUAUUAAUAUGAUUUUGCAUUUGUGUCCUUUGGAUUGGCAGGGAGGGAAAUUCCUCCCUGCCAAAAUACAUGUGAGAAUGUGGCUGGAGCCUUAAUUGAGUAAUUGUUAAUUAUUGAUUAAUUGGGCUCCAGCCACAAACUAUAAAAGUCAGGAGAGAUCCUUUGCCUGGGGAGAGAGCUAAGAGGAGGAGUGUAAAACAAUACUGUGAGUAUAAAGACGAUUGCUACCAACUGAGACAUUUGGGUACUCGUUUUAGUUUCAAGAUUACUUGUUUUGUUCUGUUUUACUUUGGCCUACGUGCCGUUUGUUUUCUGUGUUUAAAAGUAUUUUGUUUGUGUUAAUUUUUCGUUGUUAAAUAAAUACACUGCGCUGCCACGCAGUUUCAGCCCCAUACGUCUGUUUCCUGAACAUUGCUUCCUGGUCUGUGUUGUCACCACACACGCCACUCAAGCCUACCUUGUGACACAUGGUCACAUGAUCUUGGUAAGGGAAGUCCCGACUUAUCUUGGCGCCUUCUACUGUCAGGAGGCUGAAUUACAGACCGAAACCCCUUUGACUCAUCACAGCCUUAUUCAAAUGAUCUCCUCUUUCUUCGUAUCUCUGCCAGGGUCAAUUCGUACACCUCCGUAAACUCAUUCUCCUUUGUCCUAGUUCCUUAUCAAAAAAGUGGGAUGCUGGUCUUUCACUGCAAUGGAAUCUUGAAUUCGGUCUUCACUUCCUGAUAUUUAUUUGGCCCAACAGAAUAUUGCUGGUAUGCCUGGAGUGGGGGCUAUGUCUCCACCAGGACCAGCAGAGGUU